GCCAGCAUGGCAUAGUGGUUUGAGUAUUGGACAAUGACUCUGGAAACCAGGGUUCAGUUCCCUGGUUGGCA